rnacentral:lncRNA from 1 species
AUCCAGGAGCCGCAGGAUGGUCUUGAUUUUUUCUGUCUUUCUUUAUAUCCUUCUUGGCCUUUACAUGCAAGUGCUAGUGAAGCCGUUCUUGCUUUCUGUCUUUUGAUUUUCUUUCUACCUUGCACAAUCAUUUUGUCCUACAGUUGUUCCCAAUCCUCCUUCGAGGAGCUCGAAGAGGUGUCUAACCCACUGUUCAUGGAGGACCCGUGAGGGGGGGUAAAUCCUUCACGCGAGGGCUCCUACCCCGGGCCCUCAAUAGCCCCACAGGGCCCCUCCUCCAUGGGCACUGGUUCCUCCGAGACCCCUUCACUUGCGGAAGUGAAGAUCAAGCUGGGGGAUUUUUGAUCAUCCUUUGGUAAGAUCAGCGCCCGCUCGGAUUUUCUCGAUCGAGUGGACACCGAGCUUGACCUCGCCCACGCAUCACCCGAAAAGCUCCAGAAGAUCAGCCAGGUCAUGGACCAGCUGAGCCAACACCCUUCUAGGCUCAAUUCGGGCCAGGAUGCGGCCGCCCGAUUAACCAAUAUAAUUGAAGAGUGGGAAAAACAAGGGUAACUGUUGUUGGUGGUUUAUUGGCCGGAACCCGCCAUUCCAUCUAUUAGAAUAAGAAAGAGAAGUGUACAGAUAGGCUGGGUUUCUAGCAAACAAAGGAAAGAGUUUCCAGGGGAAGUGAUUGAUUAGUUCAUGCUCAAGUACAGGCGGAGUUAGCUAAGGAAGAGGUACAAGAUAAGCAAGUCAGCGGGUUACAAGGAAGUGGGAUUCCAAUCACAGUGAGUCAAGCCGCUUUCAAGCCUCACAUAAUUUGAAUUUCUCUGACAUUCCACGUUUCCAAAACGGAUCCUAUUAAAUAUUUCACAUUUUCAAUGAUUAUCUCUAUUUUAGGUAUUCGGGGAAUCCUCCUUAAUAGACGAAAUAUUCCUAUUAUGUCAAUGCCAAUUGAAUCAAUGUUAUUAGCUGUCAAUUCGAACUUUUUGGUAUUUUCCGUUUCUUUGGAUGAUAUGAUGGGUCAAUUAUUUGCUUUAUUAGUUCUAACAGUGGCAGCUGCGGAAUCUGCUAUUGGAUCAGCCAUUUUCGUUAACACUUUUCGAGUCCGAGGGACUAUUGCUGUCGAAUCCAUAAAUUGCAUUCAAGGUUAAAGAAGACUACAGGAGAGUUACCAAAUACAAAGUUCAGUUCUCCUUUCGUUCUCUUCUUUCUUUUCUUUUUCUUUUUGGACUUGGCCUAGGGUGUCCUACACAACUUCCCGUUCCGUUGCGGAAAUAUCGAUACGGAUAACGUUUCCCAAUGAGAUUGAGUUCAACGGAUAUGCAGGAUAGAAAUAUGCUAUUUGCUGCUAUUCCAUCUAUUUGUGCAUCAAGUUCGAAGAAGAUCUCAAUCUAUAAUGAAGAAAUGAUAGUAGCUCGUUGUUUUAUAGGCUUUCUCAUAUUCAGUCGGAAGAGUUUAGGUAAGACUUUCAAAGUCACUCUCGACGGGAGAAUCGAGUCUAUUCAGGAAGAAUCGCAGCAAUUCUCCAAUCCUAACGAAGUCAUUCCUCCGGAAUCCAAUGAACAACAACGAUUACUUAGGAUCAGCUUGCGAAUUUGCGGCACCGUAGUAGAAUCAUUACCAACGGCACGCUGUGCGCCUAAGUGCGAAAAGACAGUGCAAGCUUUGUUAUGCCGAAACCUAAAUGUAAAGUCAGCAACACUUCUAAAUGCCACUUCUUCCCGUCGCAUCCGUCUUCAGGACGAUAUAGUCACAGGUUUUCACUUCUCAGUGAGUGAAAGAUUUGUCCCCGGGUGUACGUUGAAAGCUUCUAUCGUAGAACUAAUUCGAGAGGGCUUGGUAGUCUUAAGAAAGGUUCGGGUGGGGGGUUAUAUUUGUAAAGAAUAAGGAAGAGGAAUAGAAUCUAAUUCAUGUGUUCAUGCUAACAGAAGAGCGGAUCCAAUACACCAAGACCUCGGUUGUUCUUUUUCAAUCGAGAAGAGAAGGCCGUGGUCGAAGCAUUAAAAAAACUUCAAAAGGCUUUCGGCCAUGGGACGGGGGAGUGGCGAGGCGGGCCCCCGUCAAUAUUAUGUUUUUCGCCCCAUCAUCUUACACGUUUUUCGGUAUGAGAUAGGGGAUUGAACUACUUAAUCUUUGCCUGGAACCAAACCUUAUGAGUACUACCAAUCAGGCAGGAUUAAGGCCUUCCAUGGCUUUCAAGCUCUCGGGUGACGUUGAAGUGAAAUACCACUCCAGUAGCUUGAACAACUCCGGGAACAGGAUUUCUCCUCAAGGCAAAGUCAGUGUUCGCUGCGCUAGAACGAGCUGGUCGAGAGAUGCGCAGUGGGAAAUCGCAUCAGUAUGGGGUGGAAGGUUGUUUGCCCCUAGCUAUGGGAGUACUAAUCUAAAGAAGCGAGCAGCAGUUUUAGGGACGGGCUGGCCCCUGGGACUCAGUCAGCGAGCGCUGUUGGUAAAAAAAAGAACUACUUAGCAAAAAGGCCUGCAAGUAGGUGUAUUCUGAGAACUACACGAGCUCUUUUGGCAGAAAAGCGGAAACGUCUUUCUUUCGUCCUCCACUCGCUGGAGACUAUGGGGAUCUGGGAUUUGAGAACACUGACUGACGGCACUCAACUGACGGGACUUCGAGGCAGGUAUUUUACUGUAUACCUAUACCGACGGAAUGAAGGCACGAGACUGAGACGGAGACCACAGCUUAAUGUGAGUACGAACUAUACCACAAGCUUAUAAGCUUCGAGAGCCCAGGCCAAGGAGCUCUCUCGAACAGGGAAACUCGAAAGCCUAACGCGAGGGUUCCUCACCUCAAAACCUAGAAAAAAGCCAGAAACCUCCGAAGAGGAGCUAUUAAAGCUCUUAAGCCGAGGAGCGGAGUUUCAACUCGAAAGCCGGCCCGAAGCAGAGUGAACUAUCUAAAAAGCCCAGGACAGGAGCUAUUACGACUCAAACAGGAAGUAGAAUUCCUAUAUAGACAGCGAUAGACCCUUACCUAGGCCAGGGAAUCAGAAAGCUACUCUGCUUGAGUCAUCAGAGGAGCUAUUCCUGCAUUUGUUGACUCUUGAGCUUCACACAAACACAAUGGCGUCGGUGCGAUGUAAAACACAUCACAUCAGCAAGGGAUUAGGAUUGCUUUGGGAAUUCACUAAUGGUUGUAAAUGUAUUCAAUGAUUUACCACGGUUGAUAACAACAACAACUGAGAUGCCAGGUGCGGCUCAGAGAAUAUGAUCAUGAAAUAUGAUGCUGUAGCAGCAGCCGUAGCAGGGGGAACUCGAAAGAGGCUAUUCCUCUCUCUCGGUACAGCUCAUUUUAGGAGGCAGGCAGAGGUUGCCCUAGAGAGGGCGACGAGUUUGGGUACCUCUGUGGGCGGAUAGGCUAUAGCGGACCUAUCGGCCUACAAUAGGAGAUAGAGGCAUUGUAGCGAGUCUCACUAAUACGCAUCUAAGGGAGGUAGGGACUACUAAUGGACUAUCAUGAACGAAGUGAGGGAAGGAGUCUAGACCACAAGCCAAGUGUACUAUAAGGGUACGUCCGGGAUAUACUCUCGUUAUUACCGUACCGACUAAAUGAAGGGACAGAUAGAUCUCAGCGGACGUUUGCUAUUUGAGGAGACUAGUAGAGGACAGAACGGACGGGACGGAUUCUAAACCGCAUUCCGGUAAAUCAAAUAAGGCUCUCAGGGACUUCGGGAUUUUAGACCCAUUACUCUAAUGGACUAUAGGAACGAAGGGAGGGAUUGGACGACGGACGGGACAACUAGCUAAUAGGGGGGACGGAAGGACAGAGAGAUUAGACCACAGCUUAGCUUGAGCUUGAGACUGAGCGCUUUCGAGAACGAAGUUUGUUGUCUGGUGACUGAGCUUGCGAGAACGAAGACAGACAGAGAUCUUGAUUUGGAAAAGACUGAGCUUGCAAAAAGAGUUUACGACUGGCUUUUGAUCGUAGAACGACUUGAGCUUGAAAGCGGUAGAUCGAAGACCAAUUAUACAAUUGAUAGUUGGCUUAUAAAGAAGGUAAAGGCCUUUUUUUUGCAUAGAAGUGGACGGUGGGCAAUAGAUAUUAAUUGAAAGAAAGUGUCUACGACUUCCUUUUCUGUCCGGCCCUUGAGGUACUAACUAACAUGUAUGUAUUUUCAGUGGAUUUUUGUCCUACACUUCAAGCGAGGCUAUCAAGCUCCAGGCGGUCUUAAACAACGGGUAGUCCCUUCUUCUUU